rnacentral:tRNA from 1 species
GGGCCUAUAGCUCAGUCGGUUAGAGCGCUUCCCUGAUAAGGAAGAGGUCGCU